CCUACGGGGGGCAGCAGUGGGGAAUAUUGGACAAUGGGGGCAACCCUGAUCCAGCAAUGCCGCGUGAGUGAUGAAGGCCUUAGGGUUGUAAAGCUCUUUUACCUGCGAGGCGGUAGCAGGAGAAUAAGCCCCGGCUAACUUCGUGCCAGCAGCCGCGGUAAUACGAAGGGGGCUAGCGUUGUUCGGAGUUACUGGGCGUAAAGGGCGCGUAGGCGGCGCACCAAGUCAGGCGUGAAAGCCCUGGGCUCAACCCGGGAAAUGCGCUUGAGACUGGUGUGCUUGAGUACGGGAGAGGAUAGUGGAAUUCCCAGUGUAGAGGUGAAAUUCGUAGAUAUUGGGAAGAACACCAGUGGCGAAGGCGGCUAUCUGGACCGUACUGACGCUGAGGCGCGAAAGCGUGGGGAGCAAACAGGAUUAGAUACCCUUGUAGUC
rnacentral:rRNA from 1 species